UGUGGGGUGACCGCGUACCUCUUGCAUAAUGGGUCAGUGACUUAAUUUAUCUAGCAAGCUUAAGCCGUUAGGUGUAGGCGCAGCGAAAGCGAGUCUGAAUAGGGCGACAUAGUCAGUGGGGGUAGACGCGAAACCUUGUGAUCUACCCAUGGCCAGGUUGAAGUUUUGGUAACACAAAAUGGAGGACCGAACUCAUAUACGUUGAAAAGUGUUGAGAUGAGCUGUGGGUAGGGGUGAAAGGCCAAUCAAACUCGG
rnacentral:rRNA from 1 species